rnacentral:misc_RNA from 1 species
GAUGAAGAACGUAGCGAAAUGCGAUACGUAAUGUGAAUUGCAGAAUUCAGUGAAUCAUCGAAUCUUUGAACGCACAUUGCGCCCCCCGGUAUUCCGAGGGGCAUGCCUGUUCGAGCGUCAUUAUCACCCCUCAAGCUCAGCUUGGUGUUGGGGCCUGCUGUAGAGGCAGCCCUUAAAAUCAGUGGCGGUGCCGUCAGGCUCUAAGCGUAGUACAUAUCUGUCGCUAUAGGGUCCUGGUGAACACCUGCCAAAACCCCCCAUUUUUUCAUGAUUGACCUCGGAUCAGGUAGGGAUACCCGCUGAACUUAAGCAUAUCAAUAAGCGGAGGA